UACGGAGGGUGCAAGCGUUGUCCGGAUUUAUUGGGUUUAAAGGGUGCGUAGGCGGCCCGUUAAGUCAGUGGUGAAAGCCUCCAGCUCAACUGGAGAACUGCCAUUGAUACUGACGGGCUUGAGUACAGACGAGGUUGGCGGAAUUGACGGUGUAGCGGUGAAAUGCUUAGAUAUCGUCAAGAACACCUAUAGCGAAGGCAGCUUACUAGGCUGUAACUGACGCUGAGGCACGAAAGUGUGGGGAUCAAACAGG
rnacentral:rRNA from 1 species